GUGGGGAAUCUUGCGCAAUGGGCGAAAGCCUGACGCAGCAACGCCGCGUGUGUGAUGAAGGUCUUCGGAUCGUAAAGCACUGUCGGGAGGGAAGAACAAGCUCGGGGACAACACCCCCGGGCCUUGACGGUACCUCCAAAGGAAGCACCGGCUAACUCUGUGCCAGCAGCCGCGGUAAUACAGAGGGUGCUAGCGUUGUUCGGAAUUAUUGGGCGUAAAGCGCGUGUAGGCGGCCAGUCAAGUCGGGUGUGAAAGCCCUCGGCUCAACCGAGGAAGUGCGCCCGAAACUAGCAGGCUUGAGUACCGGAGAGGAUGGCGGAAUUCCCGGUGUAGAGGUGAAAUUCGUAGAUAUCGGGAGGAACACCAGCGGCGAAGGCGGCCAUCUGGACGGAUACUGACGCUGAGACGCGAAAGCGUGGGGAGCAAACAGGAUUAGAAACCCUAGUAGUCC
rnacentral:rRNA from 1 species